rnacentral:lncRNA from 1 species
GGCCAUAUGACUAGUGCUGACCAAUGGACUGUGAACAGAAAUGACAGCAUCACUCGCAUGGAGACUCCUCCAUCUCUGUCUUCCCUGUUGUGACAAUCUCAGAGCCUACGUUCUUUCAAUGGCUGGGCUACAAGAUGGUGACAGGCUGCCCAACCUGACACAGCAAGAAGGUGGCCAUCUGCAAACCAGAAAGAGAGCCCUCACUAGGAACCAGAUCUGCUGGCACCUUGAUCUUGGACUUCCUAUCCUUUAGAGCUGUGAGAAAUGUCGCCCCCAGGUCAAUGGGAUAUUUGUUACAGCACCAGGUACUGCCUGAGAACUCUACCUUUAGGGAGCCUGCGUGCUGGGUCACUGGGGAGACAAUGAAGGUGCUUGACACCCAGUUUGAAUAUUGUGUCACUGCAAAGCUGACUGCUGUUGAAGGACAGCCAGUGAGAGGUCAUGGCAAGACAUCAGAAGAAGCAGAAGUCAUGAGCAUGCUGAAGCUAUGAGGCCAAGACAAAAUGUCACAUUGCCACAAGAAGAGGGACAAACAGGCAACAGGCAGAGCCCAUGGGAAUCAGUAAUCUCCUGCUGACACUGAGGCCUUGGGACUAACUCAGAUCCAGUACUACUCUCUUGGGACCUGUUCUGACUCCAGCUCCUGUCCUUGGAGUCCCCUGAGAUCCCUGUACCCUUGUAAUAAGCCCACAUUAUCAUAUUUCCCCUGCCGGCUCCACCCUAGAGCAUUUCCAACAAUUUCCAGUGCUUUUCCCCUUCUCACACCACUGGGCCUUUGCACGUGCUAGUGCCUCCCCAACUUGCCCUGCCUUCUCCUUCACCCAGACAACUCCUACUAAAUCUCUCAGACUCCUCAGCUGUGUCCCUUCCUAGGGGAGGACUCUCUUCCCUCCAGUGAGCCCGGUGGUCCUCCCUGGGAUCCCCUGCUCCUUGUCUUCCCUGCCGUCCUUACUGCCAUCCUUGUUCUCUACUCAGAAGGAGGCAGAGGCUGGCCUGCCCCCAAUCCCCUGUAGACUGACCAGAUGAAUUGACCUGGGCUGGGCAGGGCAGGCGUGUUUGACCAACUGUCUGGGCACCCCAUGGCUCAGUCAAGUUGACACAUAAAGUUCACCGCCCCAGGGCCCCUUCAUUGUAUUUGUGUAUGAAUAAAACACAGCAUCCACUCCAGGUAUCUGAGGGUCCUGGAGGCAGGUUCUGUGAUCCCUUUUUACAGAUGAGGAUGCGGAGGUCCAGUUGUCACUCACCCAGAUCACACUCUCAUCUGCUGAUGGGAGGAGUAUUUGAUGGGAUGUGUGAGCCCGGCCGUCUCCCUUGGGACACAUCAGCUCAUUAAAUUUGCCAGCCCCUGCCUGAAAAAGUAUUUAAUUUGCCUUUUAGAAUGCACCCAUUGCAAGUUAAUUAACUGGCAAUUGAAAGUUAUAGGUGGCAUUAGAAUUUAUUAAUAACAUUGGAAAUAAAUCCCCCUGGAAUUCAAUUAACUGAAAA